GGGCCUAUAGGGGCUGGCUAUACAUGCAGUCGAGCGGACAGAAGGGAAAGCUUGCUCCCGGAUGUUAGCGGCGGACGGGUGAGUAACACGUGGGUAACCUGCCUGUAAGACUGGGAUAACUCCGGGAAACCGGAGCUAAUACCGGAUAGUUCCUUGAACCGCAUGGUUCAAGGAUGAAAGACGGUUUCGGCUGUCACAAUUACAGAUGGACCCGCGGCGCAUUAGCUAGUUGAAGUGAGGUAACGGCUACACCAAGGCGACGAUGCGUAGCCGACCUGAGAGGGUGAUCGGCCACACUGGGACUGAGACACGGCCCAGACUCCUACGGGAGGCAGCAGUAGGGAAAAUCUUCCGCAAUGGACGAAAGUCUGACAGGAGCAACGCCGCGUGCCAGUGAUGAAGGUUUUCGGAUCGUAAAGCUCUGUUGUUAGGGAAGAACAAGUGCAAGAGUAACUGCUUGCACCUUGACGGUACCUAACCAGAAAGCCACGGCUAACUACGUGCCAGCAGCCGCGGUAAUACGUAGGUGGCAGCKUUGUCCSGAAUUAUUGGGCGUAAAGGGCUCGCAGGCGGUUUCUUAAGUUGAGGGCCCCCGCCGYUCAACCGGGGAGGGUCAUUGGAAACUGGGAAACUUGAGUGCAGAAGAGGAAGUGGAAUUCCACGUGUAGCGGUGAAAUGCGUAACAGGAUUARAUACCCUGGUAGUCCACGCCGUAAACGAUGAGUGCUAAGUGUUAGGGGGUUUCCGCCCCUUAGUGCUGCAGCUAACGCAUUAAGCACUCCGCCUGGGCCCGAGUACGGUCGCAAGACUGAAACUCAAAGGAAUUGACGGGGGCCCGCACAAGCGGUGGAGCAUGUGGUUCCUAAUUCGAAGCAACGCGAAGAACCUUACCAGGUCUUGACAUCCUCUGACAACCCUAGAGAUAGGGCUUUCCCUUCGGGGACAGAGUGACAGGUGGUGCAUGGUUGUCGUCAGCUCGUGUC
rnacentral:rRNA from 1 species